rnacentral:rRNA from 1 species
UGAGGAAUAUUGGUCAAUGGGCGAGAGCCUGAACCAGCCAAGUAGCGUGCAGGAUGACGGCCCUAUGGGUUGUAAACUGCUUUUAUAUGGGAAUAAAGUGAGGGACGUGUCCCUUAUUGCAUGUACCAUACGAAUAAGGACCGGCUAAUUCCGUGCCAGCAGCCGCGGUAAUACGGAAGGUUCAGGCGUUAUCCGGAUUUAUUGGGUUUAAAGGGAGCGUAGGCUGUUUGUUAAGCGUGUUGUGAAAUGUAAGAGCUCAACUUUUAGAUUGCAGCGCGAACUGGCAGACUUGAGUGCGCACAACGUAGGCGGAAUUCAUGGUGUAGCGGUGAAAUGCUUAGAUAUCAUGACGAACUCCGAUUGCGAAGGCAGCUUACGGGAGCGCAACUGACGCUAAAGCUCGAAGGUGCGGGUAUCGAACAGG